GAGAUAACUCCUACGGGAGGCAGCAGUGGGGAAUUUUGGACAAUGGGGGCAACCCUGAUCCAGCAAUGCCGCGUGAGUGAAGAAGGCCCUCGGGUUGUAAAGCUCUUUUGUCAGGGAAGAAACGGUAGUAGCUAAUAUCUAUUACUAAUGACGGUACCUGAAGAAUAAGCACCAGCUAACUACGUGCCAGCAGCCGCGGUAAUACGUAGGGUGCGAGCGUUAAUCGGAAUUACUGGGCGUAAAGCGUGCGCAGGCGGUUUUGUAAGUCAGAUGUGAAAUCCCCGGGCUCAACCUGGGAACUGCGUUUGAAACUACAAGGCUAGAGUAUGGCAGAGGGGGGUAGAAUUCCACGUGUAGCAGUGAAAUGCGUAGAGAUGUGGAGGAAUACCAAUGGCGAAGGCAGCCCCCUGGGAUAACACUGACGCUCAUGCACGAAAGCGUGGGGAGCAAACAGGAUUAGAUACCCUUGUAGUCCUCCACU
rnacentral:rRNA from 1 species